AACGAACGCUGGCGGCAUGCCUAACACAUGCAAGUCGAACGAGAUCUUCGGGUCUAGUGGCGCACGGGUGCGUAACGCGUGGGUAUCUGCCCUUUGGUUCGGAAUAACAGUUGGAAACGACUGCUAAUACCGGAUGAUGACGAAAGUCCAAAGAUUUAUCGCCAGAGGAUGAGCCCGCGUAGGAUUAGCUAGUUGGUGUGGUAAAGGCGCACCAAGGCGACGAUCCUUAGCUGGUCUGAGAGGAUGAUCACCCACACUGGGACUGAGACACGGCCCAGACUCCUACGGGAGGCAGCAGUGGGGAAUAUUGGACAAUGGGCGAAAGCCUGAUCCAGCAAUGCCGCGUGAGUGAUGAAGGCCUUAGGGUUGUAAAGCUCUUUUACCCGGGAUGAUAAUGACAGUACCGGGAGAAUAAGCUCCGGCUAACUCCGUGCCAGCCGCCGCGGUAA
rnacentral:rRNA from 1 species